rnacentral:misc_RNA from 1 species
GUAAGAAUUCAAUUCAAUUUAUUUAUUUUUGACUAAUUCUCAUGUUUGGACCAAAAGAAUUCAAUUCUUUUUAAUUUUAAAAAAAAUCAUUUUAAAAGAAAUGGAUAUAAGCUUGGGGUCAUGCUGUUGGUGUAAUGUGUUCAUGAAGUAGGCGGCUAUGUAAUUCUUCUCUAAGUUUUUUGGUUUUGUGCAAAUGUGAAUUCACAUUGUAGCCAUUUUUCACCAAAUUUCUUAAUAUCAUCAACCUUUCCUCAACUUCAAGGUUAUUUCACCACUAUCAUUCAAUUUCAAUUUGCAUUAAAAAAUGCUUAAGACUUCAAUUUAAAUCACCUAAAGUCCCUUUGGCUAGAUUUUGUUAGAUACUUUGGCUAGAAGCUGAUUUGGACAUUAAACACAAUAAAAAAUAUUUCUUUCUCCGUAACCUCGGGAGAACAGUCUCUCUACCACCUUGGAAACGCAUGUGAUGCGAGAGAAAAAAAAAUUGAGAUAUAAGUAUAUCCAAAUCAGCUUUUAGCUAGAAUACCCAACAAAAUCUGAUAAGAUUUUUGUGAUACAAAUUAACAUUGAGGGACGGUGAUAAAACAACCGUCAAAGUCGAGAGAUAGUG